ensembl:lncRNA NR2F1-AS1 NR2F1 antisense RNA 1
ACGGAAAUACUACCAUCCUCCAGCCAAUCUGUUGGGAGGACUGCUUGCAGAGGACUCGUGCUCCAGAUGUUGCACUAGAGGCGCUGCAAGUGUGAGCAGGUAGAUGAAACUCAAGAGAAAAGGUGUGGAUAAAUGAAACUAGCCCAUGAUGAACCUGUUUUCUCCGUGACCACAAUAUUAACCAGGAUGAAUGGCGGUGGCAGUGGGCCUGCAUCACAGGUUGCAGCAGAUGUUCUCAAUAUUUCUAUUAAAAUUUCCUUAUUUCCAUAUGCAAGAGGAGCCCCAGAGCUGCAUCCUUAUGGUAGCUACCAUGCCGUGAUGUAAGCUGCCAUUCACUGGGGAGCUUUGGCAAUAGAAUUGGCUAGAUCAGGAAGCCUAUGUCAACUAUGGAACAACAACUUGCAGCUCAUCUCUAUUGAUGAUACACUGCCUCUAGGACUGGGACAGAUAGCCACUGAGUACCUGCUUCAAAUCACCCUGCACGUUUUCUCUUUGGAAAGAUAAGCACUGGAGAACCAUCUCGUUACCUUCAGCAGAAAUGGAAACAAAUCAAGACAUUAAGAAUGCCGCAGUGGACAGCAGUUAUGCAAGGUUCAGCAGAGGAAGUUUUCAAGAUGGUGUGCCUCACUAGCCAGAAAUCAGAAAAGAUCGAAGCUAGCCUUUUCAUCUCAGCUGCUCCUUAAAUCAGUGCAACCCCUCCAAAUUAAUGUGAAUUGAAACUUGCAUUGCUUUUCAACUUAAUUGAAUACUUACUAUAUGUGAACCACUGCACAAAAUAGGGGAAGAAGAUGUGGGAGACAAAGAUGUGGAGCCUGUCUUCAAUAAAUUUACAGUUAGUUUCAGGGUACAUUGUUUUUCUUCUGCUGUUAAUUAGGUGUAUCCCCAAGACAAUAAAUACAUGAAUGGAAAAGUAUAUUCUGUGUUUUAAGUCUCUUUAAUAAAAAACAAAACAAAAUCCAAAAAAACUCCUAACAUGGCAACUCAGGACAUUUUAAUCCUUUUUUUUGUUGUUGGGCUUCUGAUAGGAUCCAUUUUAUUGAUUCCAUAAAUAUUUAGUAGACUUUAGACAUAUUAAUACAUUGUAGUUUGAGUUAAUUUGCAUUAAAUUCUGUUUUUUUCCCCUUAGGUAUAGAUUGUCUGUUGGAAAAAUAUAUUGCUUGUGGAUUUCUUGGGGAGUGGGAAGGUGAAUUAUACCUGUUGUCUCUACAGUCCACUACCUUCCACACCCUAGGGCAGUGGUCCCCAACCUUCUUGGCACCAGGGAUCAGUUUCCUGGAAGACAAUUUUUCUGUGGAUGGUGUGGGGAUGGUUUUGGGAUGGAACUGUUCCACCUCAGAUCAUCAGGCAUUAGUUAGGCUCUCAUAACGAGUGCGCAGCCUAGAUCCCUCACAUGCACAGUUCACAGUAGGGUUUGCGCUGCUAUGAGAAUCUAAGGCUGCCACUGAUCUGACAGGAGGCAGAACUCAGGUGGCAAUGCUUACUGGCCCACUGCUCACCUCUUGCUGUGCGGCCUGGUUCCUAAUAGGCCAUGGACCCCCACAGACGGGUACUAGUCUGCAGCCUGUGGACCCCAGCCCUAGGGGCCUGCCAUUCUGAGUGAGUUAUUAGCAUGAAGAAGAGGAAGAUCUGGAUCAAACGUGGGUGAUGGUACUCAGAGACCCAAGAUAGGAUAGGGAUGGAACAAAAUCCAUCUGGGCAACGGCUCUAUGAAAAUUUGGCUAAGUAAUUAUUUCAGUAUUCAUUGUAUUCAUUGUCCUUCGUGUUCCAUAAGUUAAAUGACUGUCUAAUUUUUCCAAAAAUUUAUUUCUGACUUGAGAAUAAGUGUGUCAUGAUUUUCCCAGUGUAAAGACACUGAUAUAACUGUAGAUACCAGACAUUUUAUGUAGUGUCUAUGACACAUUUUAGUAUGUAUGAGCCAACAAUAGACAUGUCUUUGUCUUGAGGAGUGUCCAUCUGAAUUGAAAAUGUGUCAGCUUUUUUUUAACAUCAUCAACAGACUUCUUAAUUAAGCUGCCAAUACAUACUGCCAAUAGCACUGUGUGCUGUCUGAGAAAUGCAUUGUGUAAGUGCUAUUUCCAUCUUAUUAAAUAAACAAUGUUGCUCUGUAUAAACUGGAUUUAAAGUGUUCUUUGAAUGAGGCAUUAUAUUGCUCCAUAAAUAAUGUGAUGUGAAUUCUCAUAUGAUCCCUUUUAACUUAAUUUCUAAAAAAAUAUUAUUUGCUCCUCAGUAAGGAAUAGCUCUAAUUGGACUGGUAACUUUAGUGAUAUGAUUUGUCUGUAACAGGCUGAAUCGCCCCACUCCCAAACUCCUGGUCGUGAUACUGGAUAUUUGUUAUGCCACUUUUAGUUUGCAUGAGGUAUCUUCCAGGAAGUAUUAGUUAUUAACUUGUGUUCUACUAAACUGUAGAUAUUUAUUUCCUGUUCUGGAAGAUUUCUUGGAGUGUCCAUCUGUGCAUUCCUGGUGCCUAGUGUAGUCUUGCUAAUGGAAUAGCACCUUUAUUGGUGCUACUUAGGGGUUGGUAGCUUACAAUCAAUCUACUUGGAACGUAUCCAAAUAAACUGGAU